rnacentral:tRNA from 1 species
GGAGAAUUGGCAGAGAGGAAAUGCAGCCGGUUGCUAACCGGUACACCGGGAACGGUGCGAAGGUUCGAGUCCUUCAUUCUCCG